UAAUACGGAGGGUGCGAGCGUUAAUCGGAAUUACUGGGCGUAAAGCGCAUGCAGGUGGUUUGUUAAGUCAGAUGUGAAAGCCCGGGGCUCAACCUCGGAAUUGCAUUUGAAACUGGCAGACUAGAGUACUGUAGAGGGGGGUAGAAUUUCAGGUGUAGCGGUGAAAUGCGUAGAGAUCUGAAGGAAUACCGGUGGCGAAGGCGGCCCCCUGGACAGAUACUGACACUCAGAUGCGAAAGCGUGGGGAGCAAACAGGAUUAGAUACCCUGGUAGUCCACGCCGUAAACGAUGUCUACUUGGAGGUUGUGGCCUUGAGCCGUGGCUUUCGGAGCUAACGCGUUAAGUAGAC
rnacentral:rRNA from 1 species